rnacentral:rRNA from 1 species
UAGAGUUUGAUCCUGGCUCAGAUUGAACGCUGGCGGCAGGCCUAACACAUGCAAGUCGAGCGGUAGCACAGAGAGCUUGCUCUCGGGUGACGAGCGGCGGACGGGUGAGUAAUGUCUGGGAAACUGCCUGAUGGAGGGGGAUAACUACUGGAAACGGUAGCUAAUACCGCAUAACGUCGCAAGACCAAAGUGGGGGACCUUCGGGCCUCAUGCCAUCAGAUGUGCCCAGAUGGGAUUAGCUAGUAGGUGGGGUAAUGGCUCACCUAGGCGACGAUCCCUAGCUGGUCUGAGAGGAUGACCAGCCACACUGGAACUGAGACACGGUCCAGACUCCUACGGGAGGCAGCAGUGGGGAAUAUUGCACAAUGGGCGCAAGCCUGAUGCAGCCAUGCCGCGUGUAUGAAGAAGGCCUUCGGGUUGUAAAGUACUUUCAGCGAGGAGGAAGGCGUUAAGGUUAAUAACCUUGGCGAUUGACGUUACUCGCAGAAGAAGCACCGGCUAACUCCGUGCCAGCAGCCGCGGUAAUACGGAGGGUGCAAGCGUUAAUCGGAAUUACUGGGCGUAAAGCGCACGCAGGCGGUCUGUCAAGUCGGAUGUGAAAUCCCCGGGCUCAACCUGGGAACUGCAUUCGAAACUGGCAGGCUAGAGUCUUGUAGAGGGGGGUAGAAUUCCAGGUGUAGCGGUGAAAUGCGUAGAGAUCUGGAGGAAUACCGGUGGCGAAGGCGGCCCCCUGGACAAAGACUGACGCUCAGGUGCGAAAGCGUGGGGAGCAAACAGGAUUAGAUACCCUGGUAGUCCACGCCGUAAACGAUGUCGACUUGGAGGUUGUGCCCUUGAGGCGUGGCUUCCGGAGCUAACGCGUUAAGUCGACCGCCUGGGGAGUACGGCCGCAAGGUUAAAACUCAAAUGAAUUGACGGGGGCCCGCACAAGCGGUGGAGCAUGUGGUUUAAUUCGAUGCAACGCGAAGAACCUUACCUACUCUUGACAUCCAGAGAACUUAGCAGAGAUGCUUUGGUGCCUUCGGGAACUCUGAGACAGGUGCUGCAUGGCUGUCGUCAGCUCGUGUUGUGAAAUGUUGGGUUAAGUCCCGCAACGAGCGCAACCCUUAUCCUUUGUUGCCAGCGGUUCGGCCGGGAACUCAAAGGAGACUGCCAGUGAUAAACUGGAGGAAGGUGGGGAUGACGUCAAGUCAUCAUGGCCCUUACGAGUAGGGCUACACACGUGCUACAAUGGCAUAUACAAAGAGAAGCGACCUCGCGAGAGCAAGCGGACCUCAUAAAGUAUGUCGUAGUCCGGAUUGGAGUCUGCAACUCGACUCCAUGAAGUCGGAAUCGCUAGUAAUCGUAGAUCAGAAUGCUACGGUGAAUACGUUCCCGGGCCUUGUACACACCGCCCGUCACACCAUGGGAGUGGGUUGCAAAAGAAGUAGGUAGCUUAACCUUCGGGAGGGCGCUUACCACUUUGUGAUUCAUGACUGGGGUGAAGUCGUAACAAGGUAACCA